CGGGGUGAGUGGCAGACGGGUGAGUAACACGUGGGAACGUACCCUUCGAUCUGGGAUAACUUCGGGAAACCGGUGCUAAUACCGGAUACUCCAUCUUGGCGGCAUCGCCGAGCUGGGAAAAAAUUUUGAUGAAAGAUGGUCUCGCGGCCUAUCAGCUAGUUGGUGAGGUAAAGGCUCACCAAGGCGACGACGGGUAGCCGGCCUGAGAGGGCGACCGGCCACACUGGGACUGAGACACGGCCCAGACUCC
rnacentral:rRNA from 1 species